CCUACGGGUGGCAGCAGUGAGGAAUAUUGGUCAAUGGGCUUAAGCCUGAACCAGCCAAGCCGCGUGAGGGAUGAAGGUACAAAGUAUCGUAAACCUCUUUUAUAAGGGAACAAAGACUGGGACGUGUCCCGUGUUGAAUGUACCUUAUGAAAAAGCAUCGGCUAACUCCGUGCCAGCAGCCGCGGUAAUACGUAGGGUGCGAGCGUUAUCCGGAUUUACUGGGUGUAAAGGGUGCGUCGACGGCCCUGCAAGUCAGGGGUUAAAGCCCGGGGCCCAACCCCGGGACUGCCCUUGAAACUGGAUGGCUGGAGUGGGGGAGGGGCAGGCGGAAUUCCCGGUGUAGCGGUGAAAUGCGUAGAUAUCAGGAGGAACACCGGCGGCGAAGGCGGCCUGCUGGACCGAGACUGACGUUGAGGCUCGAAAGCGUGGGGAGCGAACAGGAUUAGAUACCCGUGUAGUC
rnacentral:rRNA from 1 species